UGACAGUUCGUGGACGCGUGCCCGAGGGC
rnacentral:sRNA from 1 species